rnacentral:rRNA from 1 species
GACGUAGGGCGCGAGCGUUGUCCGGAUUUAUUGGGCGUAAAGAGCUCGUAGGCGGCUUGUCGCGUCGGCUGUGAAAACCCGCGGCUCAACUGUGGGCGGGCAGCUGAUACGGGCAGGCUGGAGUUCGGUAGGGGAGACUGGAAUUCCUGGUGUAGCGGUGAAAUGCGCAGAUAUCAGGAGGAACGCCGGUGGCGAAGGCGGGUCUCUGGGCCGAUACUGACGCUGAGGAGCGAAAGCGUGGGGAGCGAACAGG